AUUGAGCGCUGGCAGCAUGCCUUACACAUGCAAGUCGAACGGCAGCACGGGAGCAAUCCUGGUGGCGAGUGGCGAACGGGUGAGUAAUAUAUCGGAACGUGCCCAGUAGUGGGGGAUAACUGCUCGAAAGAGCAGCUAAUACCGCAUACGACCUGAGGGUGAAAGGGGGGGAUCGCAAGACCUCUCGCUAUUGGAGCGGCCGAUAUCAGAUUAGCUAGUUGGUGGGGUAAAGGCCUACCAAGGCAACGAUCUGUAGUUGGUCUGAGAGGACGACCAGCCACACUGGGACUGAGACACGGCCCAGACUCCUACGGGAGGCAGCAGUGGGGAAUUUUGGACAAUGGGCGCAAGCCUGAUCCAGCAAUGCCGCGUGCAGGAAGAAGGCCUUCGGGUUGUAAACUGCUUUUGUCAGGGAAGAAAUCCUCUAGGUUAAUACCCUUGGGGGGAUGACGGUACCUGAAGAAUAAGCACCGGCUAACUACGUGCCAGCCGCCGCCGUAAGAC
rnacentral:rRNA from 1 species